rnacentral:rRNA from 1 species
UGGGGAAUAUUGCACAAUGGACGGAACUCUGACGCAGCGACGCCGCGUGAACGAAGAAGGCUUUCGGGUUGUUAAGCUCUUUUAAAAGGGAAGAUAAUGACGGUACCAUAAGAAAAAGCCCCGUCUAACUACGUGCCAGCAGCCGCGGUAAUACGUAGGGGGCUAGCGUUGUCCGGAAUCACUGGGCGUAAUGGGUUCGCAGGCGGAAAUGCAAGUCAGGUGUAAAAGUCGGUAGCUUAACUAAUGUAUGCAUUUGAAACUGCAUAUCUUGAAAAGUGUCGAGGUAGGUGGAAUUUUUAGUGUAGCGGUGAAAUGCGUAGAUAUUAAAAAGAAUACCAGUGGCGAAGGCGACUUACUGGGCUAUUUCUGACGCUGAGGAACGAAAGCGUGGGGAGCAAACAGG